UAAGACAGAGGUGGCAAGCGUUGUUCGGAAUCACUGGGCUUAAAGGGCGCGUAGGUGGUUGUGCAAGUCUAGGGUGGAAGCCUAUGGCUUAACCGUAGAAUUGCCUUGGAAACUGCAUGACUUGAGUCAGUAAGGGGAGGGUAGAAUUCCUGGUGUAGCGGUGAAAUGCGUAGAUAUCAGGAGGAAGGCCUGUGGCGAAGGCGGCCCUCUGGUGCUGGACUGACACUGAGGCGCGAAAGCGUGGGUAGCAAACAGGAUUAGAUACCCUGGUAGUCCACGCCCUAAACGGUGGGUACUAGGUGUAGGGCUCGUAAGGGUUCUGUGCCGAAGGGAAACCAUUAAGUACCCCGCCUGGGGAGUACGGCCGCAAGGUUGAAACUUAAAUGAAUUGACGG
rnacentral:rRNA from 1 species